ACCUGGUAAACAGGAACAGUAAUGAGAACUGUGGCACCAAAGGGAAAGUUUGAGGCUCUUCAAAACACCAACCACAUACUACUUUGUGCAAACCCCCCACCCUUCCCUGAGCUCAGCACACUCCCUGGGCCUGAGCGAGGGAGGCUGACUGUGGAACUGACAGCUCAGCAGAUGGGCCACAGAGAGAGAGGACAGGGCCCCUGCUGAAGGCUUCAGAGAGUGAUGCUUUUCUACCACCUCUCAACUGCACCACCCCUACGUUCUCAAGAGAACCACUCCCCGCAAGGUCUGUGGGGUCACAGUUCCAUUUCCAGAACCACGGCCACUGCUAUGUGUCAGGAACCAAGAGGCUGGAGACAGAAGUACGAGAGCACCCUGACACUGCUCUCAGCCUCGUGAAGAAGAGUUUGUGAACAGCAGUCACAGUUCUGUGCUAAGUGCAGUAUUCCACAUGGGACAGAAAAGCCGUGGCGGUCAGAGGAAGACUCAUGACAUGCUAGAGAGGAGGCAGAAACACCUGGCUCAUGCGUGUGUACGAUUCCACCGGGUGGGGAGGAGUGCGGGCUGCACGGCAGGGGAAGCAGGGAAUAAAUAAGUGGGCAGCGGGGUCAGACUGUGAAGGGCCUUCCUUCUGUGUCAUGCUACAGUGGGAAGACUUUCUAAGGCAGAAGAGCCACACUUGAAAAGCGCCACUUUCAUUAGAAUAAAAAGUCAGCUUUUAAGCCUUUUCAAUGUAGAAACAAUAAAUCCACUCGAUCCUUAGCAUUCCCUCGGUACUGGAAAUUCACCCUGAAGGAAAAAAGUGUCCUUAGAACCUUCUGAUGGGGGAUUCAGUUUCUGCUGUUCACCCACUCACCUGGUGAGCCCACCAUACCAUGAGUGUCUCCCCAUUCUCUGUUGUUCUCUCAGAAUGAAUCUGAAAACUUGGGUAAGAGGAGAAAACGAAUGCAAUCAUUCAGCAGAAUCCCCUUCACAACUCCUGCCCAGUGGUUGUCCUGUCGUUAUUCGAUCAAAUCCAGGGAUGGAGAACUCACCACCUAAAGCAGCUGUUGUCAUCUUGACAUCUGAUUGGUUUGGAGCCCAUGUUUGUACCAAGAUUACCUCCUGUACACAGGGUGACUCUUUGGGGUCACACAGAACAAAGCUAGUCACUAUUCCACGAGACAGCCCUCCUCCCUGCGUCAAAGAUUCCCAGGUCCUUCCAUCACUACAUGCUAUGGACUAGAGCCUCCUUCCCAUCUUGGCGAACUCAUUCUAAUGAACUCACGUCUCAUGAAGAAGCUUCCAGAACUGAACAGAGAACACCGUAUAGAGUGGAAGAGGAUUAUCACGUCCCUUAUCUUAGAUACUAUGCUUCCAUUAAUGUUGGCUAAUAUGGCAUAUCUUUCGGUGAUCACGUCACAUUGCUGAGUCUACUAAAACUCCCAAAGGGUUAUAUUGCAUUAUAUAUCACGAUGAUAAUUAAUACCUACUUAUUGAGGGUUUUGGGGUGUCAACCACCAAGCUAAGUGGUUUAAAUAAUAACAGCACUUACUAUGUUUCAUGAGUCAAUUAAUUUAUGAUAUAGAUAGUAUUAAACCCAUCCCAGACAGAUGGAGAAACGAGGGUUAAUAAUUUGCCCAUGUCCACGAGUUUGUAAGUGACGAAGGUGGGAUUUAAAUAUGGAUAGCCCCACUCUCAGCCUCUUAACCAUUAAGCUACCUUGCUUUGCAAAUACCAGGGCUAAACAAGAUCUUUGGUUCCCAAACCUAGUAGUCUGGUGAACUUACUAUAAAUACAAAUUCCCAGAAUAAAUAAUUUAAUUUAAUAAAAAAUGCAGAUUUCCUGGCUCCGUCUGGACCAAAUGAAUUAGAACUUCUGAGCUGAAAGCCAGGAAUCUAUUUUAACAGGCUUACAAGUGAUCCUAACAAAUUCAUCUGCAGACCAGCGUUUGGGACCCUUGAACUGACUCCCUCUGCCCUAAAAGUCAGUGAUCCGAGGGUCUUCACAUUAGGCACCCAACUAACCUAUCACAACCUGCUGAUCCAGUCCCUUGAGAAAUGACCCGGGCUAUGUGCUCAAGUAGUACGUCAUCUGUAACAAAUUCUGUGACACAGCCAACCCCCAAGGGAUGCUCAGCGAUUCUCAAUUCUGCUGCCUAUUAAAAUCACCCGGAGGCUUUAAAAACAUUCCCACCCAAGGAUCCACCCCAUAGAUUCUGACUUAAUUGCUUGAAGAUGGGGCCUGGGCAUUUUUUUUUAAGCUUAAUGUACAACCAGGGUUGAGAACCCCUGAUGAAGUAGUGAAAUACUAAUAUCCAUGAAGCCUGUGCUUUGAAUUGGGAAUGAAGAGUGAGAAGAUUUUAGUCUGAAGUAAUUCCUGCCCUCCCUUCCCCAUCCCUAUCAGGAGAGAAGGCUUCCUGGAGGAGACAACAAAUCGUUUGAAUCGGUAGGUAUGGGAGUGUCUGCCCAGCCUGAGAACUUUCUCUCCUAACAGCCUCUGUGACCUGGUUUGAACAGACCCUCUCUCUUCUGAGCCUGGGAGCCAGUCCUUGUUGAUCCCCCUGUGGGUGGGAGGACUGGAGCAGUGACUCAGGGCUGCGUGUGCUAAGGAGGAAGCAAACGGAGCUGGGUUGCCAGGAGAGGCCGGGUGGUGGAGCCUGCACACAGAGAAGGUGGAGGGAGAAGCCGCCAGGGGCGCAGAUGCUUCUCAGGCCUCGGUCCUGUCUGUGUGAGACAAGCUUCACUUCCUGCUCUGGGAUUCCAGGAGACGCCUCUGUGUCCUCCUAAUCCAUUGCUAUAAUGGGUCAACUCAGGGCACUCAUGAUCCCAUCAAGAUGUCUCAGACACUAAACCCAAAGUUGCUGGCUCAAGGAUGAGAUACGAUUCUGGGUGUCAAACAGAAAAAACGAACGGGUGGAACUUGCAAACUGAAUGCUAAUCUGCUGUCAGUCACUCAACCCUUAUUGAGCAGAGCUGUGUGCCAGGCAUCGCGUUUCUCUCUGGGGGGACAGAGAUGACUCAGACUUGGAUCCUGCCUUCGGGAACCUCACCACCUAGCAGGGAAACCAGGAGAGAUUCGUAAAUAGAAUACAAGAAAGACAGGGAUGAGAGCCCUGAGAGAGGCACAAAGCACCAUGAAUUCAGACUGUGGGGAUCAGGGAAGCUUCCCAGCAGCUGAGGCAUUUACACUGGCCUGAAGGGGUGGGUGAGAUUAGGACAGAGGAAGGUGGAGGGGAGAAGGCAUUCUAGGGGGAGGAAACCAGGGGGGCUGAGGCCUGCAGGUGGAAAUGCAUGCAGACAGGAAGCCCAGCUUGGCUGCAGCGCGGUGAGAGAAGAGGCUGUGAGGCUGUGAAGGUUGCUCGUGUUCUGACGGCACCAGUUCUUACAGUGACAGGAGGCAACACCGUCUCAUACAUAUUUUCUCACUGUAAGGCGUUAUGGUGAACUAACUGGCCCCAUGAGGUGUUUGAUCUUCAGGGAAAGGGCCAUUCCUCAACCCAGAGGAAUGAACAUGAAAUGGCAUUUCAGACCUUCAGGAGGAAAGGAUCGGGGUCAGCAAGUCCUUCCCUGGGCCUCUCGGAUUCCUCCACUCGGGAAGAAGCUUGGGCCUACCUGACAGCCAGGGUCCUCCUCCUGAUCUCUCGUGACAGCUGGAGCAGGGGCCGGUGUGACUGUGACCGCAGGGCGCUUGGCUGGCUCCUCCUCUUUGAAGGACAAACAUGGGACAGAGAGAGCUACAGACGGGAGCGCAGCUGGGAAGAGGUGCCCCCCCCCCCGAAUUCCCAUCCUGGCCAGUGUGACGAAGGAGACUGUGAACAGCUUGGGCAACUGGAGCAGCGAGAGGGAUAGGUGAGGCCCCAGCCCUCAGUCUGGCCCUUGCCCCUACCUGCUGCCUGCAGAGGACCCUGACGAUUUCAGAAGCAGCCGCCAGGAAGCCUUGGGAUAGGGUUAUAGCAACAGGAGACAUGGAAAGUGGGGAGCGCUGAGUUUAGGGACAGGCUUUCUCACUUCUUGGCUGGGAGGGCUUUGGGCAAGUCACUUGACCUCUCUGAGCCUCAGCUUCCUUGUCUGUGCACGUUGCCAGGUGCAGUGAGGCAGGCCUGGGGGGCUGUGCGAAACCCACAGGGCAGGAGCUUCUCGCCACCCAAGCCCAGCUGCCACACAGAUGCUGAACUCCGAUGUCACCGGACCCCUCCCUGGUGGCCUUCCCUCGCUGGGAUUGCUGGUCUCAGACCAGUCCCUAGCAGCACUGUCCUUGUUUAGAAGUGACAGGAAGAAGAACUAGAGUCUAGUAGAGUCUCAUCUGGGAUGAGAUUUAGCCAAGAAACGAGUUCAGCAGCGCCCUGGCCCGCCCUGGCCCGCCCUGGCCUUCCCCAUCUGAAGCUCAUGGGAGCGCCAGCAGCUGAGUCAGAAAGGGAGCAGCACCGACAGGAGGAGGCCAGAGGGCAGCUGUGCGCAGGGCAGCCCCGGAUUGGCAGGCCCAAGCCUGGCUCGGAGAGGCCAAGAGGCACGCCCCAGGCCCGGCCGCCAGGAGCGGGGAGGUGGCAGGAGGAGACCCGCUGGGCUGGCGUCCUCUCACCUUCUGGUGUGCCCUCUGCUUUAGCCUGAGGCUUGGCUUUGGCCUCCUGAUCCAAGCCAUCCUCCUCCUUGUCCUUGGAGGGCCGGGCUGUGAAUGAGAACAGAAGCACCUCUUGUCUGCGGCCGUGGCAUCCCUGCCAUGCCCCUCAGCUAGGCUGGUCCUCUGAGCAGCCAGAGCUGCCAUAGCGGGCGGGCGGAGGCUGGCCUGGGAGCUGCAGUGCCUAGAUUCUGGCCCUACUGGCUUGCUCACGGUGCCCGAUUCCCCAACUUUUGUCUUGAAUUCCCCACACUGUCGCUCACUCAGCUGUGACAGAGCGAGCCACUCCCCCUUUCUAGUCCUAUUUCCUUUCUGGUAAAAUGACAUUGUUUAGACUGAGGAGCAACACAUAGGAUUUUUUUCCCUUUUUGAGCUCAGGAGAUGGCUUUUUUGAGCAAUGAACUGAGGAGGCUUCUGAUCCAAGGUUGGUGGAUUACCAGGAUUGAUCAGUGAUGUCUGCAGUGGGCAAGGAAUGGGCAAAUAAUAACAUUUGUUACGUUGUUAAAAAGGGAGACAUUUUUGCUAUCCUUGGACUAGAUUAAAGUCCUUUGCAGCUCACUUGCUAGGAAGCUACCAGAAUCCAGGGGCACCGUAGCUCUAGCUCCAGGGGCACUACUGGUAGCCAUGUUCGUGAGCUUUCCUUUCUGGUGGGAAAGGAGAAACAGCUGACCGCCAAGCUCCCUGCUGCACCUUUUUUGACCCCAGAUACUUGGAGCACAAGCGGGGCCUCCUUCCAGAGCCCUGUGCAUGUACCGUGCUCAGAUGAGGCCCCCAGAGCAUCAUGCACAGAAUGGUGCUGUCCUGAUUUCCAGGAAUGGUAAAUGGGGAGGGCAAUGCUCUUUCGAUGUGAUAAUGUUCCAGGCCCCAGGCGGAGUGCUUUACGUGUAUCCUUUCAGGGUGGGAGGCACAGAGACUGUGGUGCAGAGGCUCAGGAGGGACCUCACAGCCGGGCAGCCUGGGAGGGUGAGGGCAGUGGCACAAGUUAUAGAGCAAAGUGCUGCCACGGGUCUAUUCUGGAGUCCAGGCUGGCCUCUCUUUAAAGGCAAUACCAUGAUACACUAUGAGCACUCAUGUGGGGGUCCACGAGACAAAAUAAAUAAAAAUGUUUUAAUUGCUACAAUUCAAUAUUAGGUUAGCUCGGAUUCUGGUGUGAGAGAGCCUGGGUUUGAAUCCUAGUCCCUCCUCUUGCUAACCGGGGACCUAUAUGGGUGAUUCCUUAACCUCUCUGUACCUCAGGUUCUUCAUCCAUAAUGUCUUACAGAGUUGUUGAAGGAAUAAAUGAAUUUAUACAAUGAAUUGUGCUUAAAAUGGUGCCUGGCACCUAGAAAACACUGCGUGUUAGUUCUGACUUCAGUGGUGACUGGACAACAGGAGUUGAGGGCAGCUGUCCCAGAAAGCAGCUCCACAGCGAUGAGGCCCCGUGUUCUGGAAGGCCCGAGCUGGGAGGGAGCCUGAAGAUCCUCCAGUCCAUAAACAGAGAAGGUGCAAUCUGGGAAGCUGGCUGGCUUGGACUCUGCCUGGGUCCAGGAUGGGCAGGAAAUAUAAACAAGUCUGGAAUUUCCUCCAUUCAACCUGUCUUCUAAACUCUCAGAGUUGGUUCAGCUGCAGCCGCCUCUGGGAGUGGGCUCCAUUCUGCAGAGCCACCACUCUGGCGUGUGUGGCCCCCCGAAGAGCCCCAGCGGGCCUGCCCAGCAGGUCCUCGUCAGACCUGCGAUGUCAGGAGGCGGGCCCUCCAUGCCUCCGUCCAGACAACUCCAGUGCCCUUCUGGUCCUGACCACGCACUGCAGUCUUCUGUGAGCAAUGCAAAGCUGUUAAAGGGAUGCUGCCCUGGUCCCAGUCCUGGCGCUGAGAGUACCUGCUGACUGGCUGGAGGAGCUGGCAGGAAAAACGAGUUCCCCUUGUUCCUUCUCAUCCCUCGGCACACACCCCAACCUCUCAUUCCCCCUGCCAACGAAGAAGGCAGGUGAACCGCAGGGCCUCUUUCUGUUUGUCCCCAUCUGUUCCUCUGUCUCAGCAUCUCUCUCUCUCUCUCUCUCCCCCCCAAACCCACACGCAUCCAGCUGAAGUCACCAGAAGAGGA